AACCCUAUGUUAGAGUAGACAGUAUCAUCCAUGGAUCUAGGCAGUACCGCCCCACCUACGUGAUUGAUUUUCUGGCGGUCCUCGGCACGCGACAUCCUCUCGUAGUAAAGUUUUCAUACAGCGUG